CCGCUGAGGGUCCCUCUGUGGGUCUGGGGUCCCCAUGUGGGUCCCCAUGUGGGUCCCCAUGUGGGUCUGGGGUCCCUUUGUGGGUCUGGGGUCCCGCUGAGGGUCCCUGCCCCCAUUUCCCGCAGAGGGCGCGGAGGCGGUGAAGCAGAAGGAUUUGGGGGACGGGGUCUUCGCCUGCGAGUUCGUCCCCAGCGCCCCCGGCCCCCACAGCGUCAGCGUCACCUAUGGGGGGCAGCCCAUCCCCCGCAGGUGGGACCGCAGCCCCGCCCCACACAUCCUGCCCCAUAGAUCCCUGCCCCACACAUCGUGCCCCAUAGAUC
rnacentral:lncRNA from 1 species